GGAGAAAGCACCAUAGCUCAGUGGUAGAACAACUGCCUUGCAUGCAGAAGGCUCCAGGUUCAAUCCUUGGCCUCUGCCUCCA